GAUGAACGCUGGCGGCGUGCCUAACACAUGCAAGUCGAGCGAUUCUCUUCGGAGAAGAGCGGCGGACGGGUGAGUAACGCGUGGGUAACCUGCCCUGUACACACGGAUAACAUACCGAAAGGUAUGCUAAUACGAGAUAAUAUGCUUUUAUCGCAUGGUAGAAGUAUCAAAGCUCCGGCGGUACAGGAUGGACCCGCGUCUGAUUAGCUAGUUGGUAAGGUAACGGCUUACCAAGGCGACGAUCAGUAGCCGACCUGGGAGGGUGAUCGGCCACAUUGGAACUGAGACACGGUCCAAACUCCUACGGGAGGCAGCAGUGGGGAAUAUUGCACAAUGGGCGAAAGCCUGAUGCAGCAACGCCGCGUGAGCGAUGAAGGCCUUCGGGUCGUAAAGCUCUGUCCUCAAGGAAGAUAAUGACGGUACUUGAGGAGGAAGCCCCGGCUAACUACGUGCCAGCCGCCGCGGUAA
rnacentral:rRNA from 1 species